rnacentral:tRNA from 1 species
AGGAUUUUAAGUUAUUUUAAACUUAGGGACUUCAACUCCCUCAAAAAAAGUGUACCUUUUAAAUCCUA